rnacentral:rRNA from 1 species
UUUGAAAUCUGGCCCUCGGGCCCGAGUUGUAAUCUGCAGAUGAGUCUUCCGGCAGAGCGCCGUCCAAGUGCCCUGGAACGGGCCGCCGGAGAGGGUGAGAGCCCCGUACCGACGCGCGCCGAGCCUCUGUGAAGCUCAUUCGAAGAGUCGAGUAGUUUGGAAAUGCUGCUCUAAUUGUGGGGUAAAUCUCCCAUAAGGCUAAAUACCGGCCAGAGACCGAUAGCGCACAAGUAGCGUGAGCGAAAGAUGAAAAGAGCCUUGAACAAGGGCGUCAAAAAGCAUGUGAAAUUGUUGUGGGGGAAGCGUUCGAUGCCAGACAUGGCGGCGGUUGGUUACCCGGCGUUCUUCGCCGGCGCACUCUGCCGUCGCCAGGCCAGCAUCAGUUCGGCUCGAGGCCCACCGCCGGCGGGAAUGUGGCUCCCCUCGGGGAGUGUUAUAGCCCGUCGGUACCGUCUCGGACCGGACUGAGGACCGCGCUUCGGCUCGGAUGCUGGCGUAAUGGCCUCUAGCGACCCGUCUUGAAACACGGACCAAGGAGUUGACCUAGCCUGCGAGUGUUUGGGUGUCAAGCCCUUACGCGCAGUGAAAGCGAAUGCAGGUGGGAGCUUCGGCGCACCAUCGACCGAUCCUGAAGUUUACGGAUGGAUUUGAGUAAGAGCAUGCUGGGUCUGACCCGAAAGAAGGUGAACUAUGCAUGAAUAGGGUGAAGCCAGAGGAAACUCUGGUGGAGGCUCGCAGCGGUUCUGACGUGCAAAUCGAUCGUCAAAUUUGUGCAUGGGGGCGAAAGACCAAUCGAACCUUCUAGUAGCUGGUUCCUGCCGAAGUUUCCCUCAGGAUAGCAGAGUUGAUCCUCAGUUUCAUGAGGUAAAGCGAAUGAUUAGAGACUCGGGGGCGCUAUAUUGCCUUCAUCUAUUCUCAACUUUAAAUAUGUGAGAAGCCUCGUGUUACUUCGGUGAACGCAGGCCUUUGAAUGAAUCAACUCUA